AUGUAUAGGCCGAAGAUCCCCAAUUCGGGGUGGGCUGCUUUCGAUCACAGGUUGCGUGGCACAGCUGAUGGAGGCGAUGAUGUUGAUGUCAACUCAUUUCCUGCUCUCUCGGGUUCUAGAGGCUCCAGUUCUGCCAGCAGCUCAGCUAUAGGAAAUAAUAAUAUGCCAAAGGCAAAGCCUUUUGCAUCAGUGAUUCGCCCCCCUGUUGAAUUUGCAGUUGUUGGUAAUGAAAAUGGAAAUAGGCAUUUGACUGAUCACAUGGUGAGAACAAAUUCUGGUGUAAACUCUGCAUCUGGUAACAAAAUUAAGCUCCUGAAGGAUGCUCAUAGUUGGGCCGACAGUAAUUUAAUUGAGGACAUAUUGGCUGGCGUGGAUAAUGAUGUUGGCCAGUCAUCUGUUUUGCUGAAAUCCAUGGUCGCUCCUGACUUUCUGCCAAGGGAGGGUAGAACAACUGGUCAAUCUCCUUUUGAGAUGAAUAAAGCACAUGGUUCAGUGUCAGGAAACACUAUAGCAGAGAAUAAACAUUCAAAUGAAUCACAACUGUUGCCACCGCAAAUGAAUUUAAUCUCUAUACCCCAGGAGCCUGAAUUAGAAGAGUUUGAUGAUGAUUACUUAAACCACCGGAAAGAUGCAUUGAAGAUGAUGAGGGCUGCCACAAAGCAUUCUCAGGCUGCCAGCAAUGCAUUCUUCAGAGGUGACCAUGCUGCUGCCAAGGAACUCUCCCUCAGAGCUCAAGAAGAGCGGUUGGCUGCUGAAAAGUUAAAUAAUAAGGCAGCAGAAGAAAUAUUUCAUCUCAGGAACAGCAACAAUAACAUUUGGAAGAUAGACAUGCAUGGUCUACAUGCAUCAGAGGCUGUAACUGCAUUGGAGAGGCAUCUUCACAUGUUAGAGUUCCAGCCACCAGGGAAUAAUCCAACUUCAACUGAUGAAUUAGAUAAGUCUGAACCCACAAUUGCUGUCCCAAAUGAGGUUGCAGCAGAGAAAGUGGUGGUGUUUCUUCGCCCUAGACAGUCUGUCUUAGAGGUGAUCACAGGGAUUGGCAGGCACAGCAAAGGACAGGCUUCACUGCCUGCUGCAGUCAGGGGCUUCCUUAUUGAAAAUGGGUACCGAUUUGAGGAGCAGAGGCCUGGUGUUUUCUCUGUUCGCCCUAAAUUUCGCCGCGGGUAA
rnacentral:rRNA from 1 species